UAGAGUUUGAUCAUGGCUCAGAACGAACGCUGGCGGCGUGCUUAACACAUGCAAGUCGAACGAGAAAUCUUUUCUUCGGAAGAGAGAGUAAAGUGGCGCACGGGUGAGUAACGCGUAGAUAAUCUACCCUCAGGUCGGGGAUAACACUGCGAAAGCGGUGCUAAUACCGGAUAAGCUCGAUUUGGUGCGAAUCAGGUCGAGGAAAGGUGGCCUCUGAUCCAAGCUAUCGCCUGAGGAUGGGUCUGCGUAUCAUUAGCUAGUAGGUGGGGUAAGGGCCUACCUAUGCAACGAUGGUUAGCGGGUCUGAGAGGAUGAUCCGCCACACUGGAACUGGAACACGGACCAGACUCCUACGGGAGGCAGCAGUGAGGAAUUUUGCGCAAUGGGGGCAACCCUGACGCAGCGACGCCGCGUGGGUGAAGAAGGCCUUCGGGUUGUAAAGCUCUGUCAGAUGGGAAUAAGUUCAAUCAUGUUAGGAGCAUGGUUGUUUGAAGGUACCAUCAGAGGAAGCACCGGCUAACUCCGUGCCAGCAGCCGCGGUAAUACGGAGGGUGCAAGCGUUGUUCGGAAUCACUGGGCGUAAAGGGCACGCAGGCGGCCGAUCAAGUCAGGUGUGAAAUUCCAGGGCUCAACCCUGGACGUGCAUCUGAAACUGGUUGGCUUGAGUAUGGGAGAGGAAAGUGGAAUUCCCGGUGUAGAGGUGAAAUUCGUAGAUAUCGGGAGGAAUACCUGAGGCGAAGGCGACUUUCUGGACCAAUACUGACGCUGAGGUGCGAAAGCGUGGGUAGCGAACAGGAUUAGAUACCCUGGUAGUCCACAGCUGUAAACGAUGUGCACUAGAUGUUGGGGGAGUUGACCCCUUCAGUGUCGCAGCUAACGCGAUAAGUGCACCGCCUGGGGGAGUACGGGCCGCAAGGUUAAAACUCAAAGGAAUUGACGGGGGCCCGCACAAGCGG
rnacentral:rRNA from 1 species